UUGCCUGGGCGCGAUCCGCCCGUGCUUCCCAUAGCGUACUCCGUCCCUGGCGCCCCCAGUGAGGUCCGUCCGUGGCGCUCCGCCUCCCGUCGUCUUCCGUCACCACGCUCUGGUCGUAUCCCCGCCGUAGCGUCGUCCAGUGCUGCCCUGCAGACCGCACAUCUGUCCACCUGCUGUGUGGUUUGGCGCGGGAGCAAAGGUAGCCAACCACACGACGGGACUCUUCCAGAUGGAGACGAAACACCACAUGGCGGGGGAAGGAAAAGAGCGAUCAGAUCUCAGACGCCGUCGUCCGUCUCCGCCAAGCUGCAUCGCCUCAAACGCUUUGUCCCGGCCAUCACGCCGGCCAUGGCCGCCAUGUCGAAGAAGGCGACUCUCCAUCCCUUCCGAGUUCCGAGUUCAUGCUCCCCUCCGCCCCUGGCAUCAUGCCACGUCCCGCGGACCGUACUAUCGCCUCCACAGCCGUGGUCGCUCGGCCACACGUACCGGUCGCUUCGCCUGCCGUCGCUGUUGCGACAGCCGUGA
rnacentral:misc_RNA from 1 species